rfam:Salmo salar isolate Sally breed double haploid chromosome ssa21, whole genome shotgun sequence.
CGCACUCACUACUGUAAGUCGCUCUGGAUAAGAGCGUCUGCUAAAUGACUCAAA